rnacentral:tRNA from 1 species
GGCAACAGGGCCGAGUGGUAAGGCAGAGGACUGCAAAUCCUUUUUUCCCCAGUUCAAAUCCGGGUGUCCCUG